CUUAAUGUUUCCACCAGGACAACAAGCCCAAACUGGGACAGACGGACACCUCGAGAGAGCAGCGUACCUUGGGACUCCUGUUUUUGCCAUCAUUCCUUGGCUCGAUCUACCAACUGACUCUUUCUCAAACCAGAUGCAAAUCUCUUUGACUCCUGAUGGUAUAAACUGUGGAUCUGGAGGGAUGCUGGAAAUGGUAAACACUCCUGAGAUAUCUAGAGAAGUUGAAGCAAAUAAUGAUGACGGAGCAUCGCUUCCAGUCUAAGCAGGUCUGCAGUGCCAACUCCACCUUUGGUCAAGUUGUCAUGUCGGCAUGGACCUGUUUCUGGGUCCUAUCUUUUGUGCUGUUGUGUGGUCUCCUGAAGCCAUAAAGCGAAGAGCAGAUAUGAAUUUUGUUUUCCUUUAAUAACGCAAAAUCACUGGCACUAAGUGAAGGACCU
rnacentral:lncRNA from 1 species